rnacentral:rRNA from 1 species
UACGAAGGGGGCUAGCGUUGCUCGGAAUCACUGAGCGUAAAGCGCACGUAGGCGGCUUUUUAAGUCAGGGGUGAAAUCCUGGAGCUCAACUCCAGAACUGCCUUUGAUACUGAGAAGCUUGAGUCCGGGAGAGGUGAGUGGAACUGCGAGUGUAGAGGUGAAAUUCGUAGAUAUUCGCAAGAACACCAGUGGCGAAGGCGGCUCACUGGCCCGAUACUGACGCUGAGGUGCGAAAGCGUGGGGAGCAAACAGG